rnacentral:lncRNA from 1 species
ACUCUCUUCUACCUUUUUUAUGACUUGUUCAAAGUUCCUUGCCUGGGUCCCAUCCCAAAUAUGUGACACAGUGAAUCACUUUUUCAGGCGUUGUGAGAUCUGUGCCCAUAUUCAGAAAGCCUCUGAGUAGGAAUGCUGAUGUAAGAUGGUUUAUAUAUAUAUAUUCAUUCAGGCCCUGAUAAGCAGUGGAGGCUGCUGAGAGAGGACGGCUCGUAGUAAUGGGAUAGUAUCAAACACAUGGUUUCAAUGUGCUUGAUGCCAUUCCAUCCACUCAUUCCAGCCAUUUAUUUUUGAGCUGUCCUCCCCUAAUAUGUGCAGUGUGGCUUCCGAAAAUAUGACCUGGAACAUCAGAUUCUCACCGUCUGUUGACCCCUGGUGGUCAUGGGAUGUCAUAGCAGCUGUAUACACCUCAGGCAUAUGCAGGGAAGUUGAGACAACAGCUCUUCAUAUCAUUUGGCUCUUGUAACUACUGUUAUUGUUUGAAAUGUGCAUAUUUAAUUAUUCUUAUAAAGUAGAAAUGACUUGUGAAUAAAGUUAGGACCUAUACCCUUUGAAUUGAAAUGAUGUUUGAACGAUCUAAUAUCUGUUUUUUUCCCCAGCUAUAACACACCGAAUGAUGAAAACAUGUUUUCCUUAGAGUAACAACUAAUCAUUAACCAAAGAUCUUGUCACUGUUAGAUUUACCUCUGCUAGCCUGAGUGCCAGUCAGUUUGUGCUAUCAUGUCAACUCUUUGGCUGGGAUUCAAUUCGAUCAUGCAUUGUCAGCUAUGCACAUUUAAAGGCAAUGUUUUCGCGUCGGUUGAAUCGAACAUGACCUAUUUCUUGUUUUUUUUAUGUCAAGGGUACCUCUCUGCCAUGCUGUACCUCCCCCUCAUUUUUAUUUUACUCCUUUCUAUUUGAACUGCCACGUUUUCACCUGAGACCUUAAGUGCCUUUGUCUUGGAAAGGUUCCAGUGGCUGUGUUGUAACAGCCUGGUCCCCAAAUCAUCUCUUCUGUGUCAGUAAUUUAGGCAUGGAUUCAAUCCGUUACGUCGAAGACCUGCGCUUUAGCGUAAUUGACAUUUUAAAGGCAAUUUUCCCGCUUUUGCCGAGACUGCAUUUACGGUAAACACUGCAUAUGUCGGCUCAAUCGGCAAUUACUUUUGAAUUAGAUCUCUAUGGUGGAUCUUCCACGCUAUGAUUCAAUUUAUCCUCUUAUUCAUCCAGAAAUGUCCCAUAUGUUUCUUCAUUAAAUAUUUGUAAGAAAAAAACUAAAAGUGUUUGUUCUUCUGCAUUCAGGUAUGUUCUGGUUUAGACUGAAAGAAACUGUGAUAUCUAAGGCUGGACAUUAACCAAAGUGACAUUUGGACUCAUUUAGAUUUGUCAUAAUAAUAGUUUAUUAUAGCUAUUUUAUACUUCUGUCUAGAGUCUGUUGCUUCAACACCAGAGUGAAAUAACAUUUCAGGGUUACCAACUGUAAUGUCAAUUCAACAACUGCAUCUUUUUCGGUUGAGGAAAACCGUUUGCUCUGUCUGGAUGAUUGUUUCAUAGAAGUGCCUUUUAUUUCAAACUUUAUAUUUGUAAAAUUCAUUAAACUGUUCAGUAAAACCUUGAUGAGCAUUUUAAUUAAAGUUGUGGCGCGAUAAGGGGGGGGGGGGG